CCUACGGGGUGCAGCAGUGGGGAAUAUUGGGCAAUGGGCGCAAGCCUGACCCAGCAACGCCGCGUGAAUGAAGAAGUCUUUCGGGUUGUAAACUUCUUUUAAGGGGGAAGAGCAGAAGACGGUACCCCUUGAAUAAGCCACGGCUAACUACGUGCCAGCAGCCGCGGUAAUACGUAGGUGGCAAGCGUUGUCCGGAUUUACUGGGUGUAAAGGGCGUGCAGCCGGAGAGACAAGUCAGAUGUGAAAUCCACGGGCUCAACCCGUGAACUGCAUUUGAAACUGGUUCACUUGAGUGUCGGAGAGGUAAGCGGAAUUCCUAGUGUAGCGGUGAAAUGCGUAGAUAUAAGGAAGAACACCAGUGGCGAAGGCGGAUUACUGGACGAUAACUGACGGUGAGGCGCGAAAGCGUGGGGAGCAAACAGGAUUAGAUACCCGUGUAGUC
rnacentral:rRNA from 1 species